rnacentral:misc_RNA from 1 species
CUUUCAGACAACACAAAGGUUGCUAUAAAACGCCUUUCAGAUUAUCACAGCCCUGGAGGAGAAGCUGCUUUCCAAAGAGAAGUUCAGCUUAUUAGUGUUGCAGUUCAUAGGAAUCUUCUACGACUGAUUGGUUUUUGUAUGACCUCCUCUGAGAGAAUCCUUGUUUAUCCAUUUAUGAAAAAUCUGAGUGUCGCAUACCACCUGAGAGAUUUGAAACCUGGAGAAAAGGGUUUGGACUGGCCAACGAGGAAGCAAGUGGCCUUUGGUGUAGCUCAUGGACUGGAGUAUCUACAUGUGCAUUGUAAUCCUAAGAUUAUACAUCGUGACUUAAAGGCUGCUAACAUCCUAUUAGAU